CGGCGGACGGGUGAGUAACGCGUGGGUAACCUACCCUGUACACACGGAUAACAUACCGAAAGGUAUGCUAACACGGGAUAAUAUAUUUGAGAGGCAUCUCUUAAAUAUCAAAGGUGAGCCAGUACAGGAUGGACCCGCGUCUGAUUAGCUAGUUGGUAAGGUAACGGCUUACCAAGGCGACGAUCAGUAGCCGACCUGAGAGGGUGAUCGGCCACAUUGGAACUGAGACACGGUCCAA
rnacentral:rRNA from 1 species